rnacentral:rRNA from 1 species
GCUGUGAGCUCGAUGAGUAGGGCGGGACACGUGGUAUCCUGUCUGAAUAUGGGGGGACCAUCCUCCAAGGCUAAAUACUCCUGACUGACCGAUAGUGAACCAGUACCGUGAGGGAAAGGCGAAAAGAACCCCGGCGAGGGGAGUGAAAAAGAACCUGAAACCGUGUACGUACAAGCAGUGGGAGCCCCACCACCAAAGCAUUCUCUGGUGUUGAAGGCCCUGCAAAGCAGCAUCGCGGUGGCGGAGCGUCGUUUGCGACGCCCAACACACAAAACAAGCGGUGAGUGCUUUGGGGUGGGGUGACUGCGUACCUUUUGUAUAAUGGGUCAGCGACUUAUAUUCUGUAGCAAGGUUAACCGAAUAGGGGAGCCGGAGGGAAACCGAGUCUUAAUUGGGCGUUAAGUUGCAGGGUAUAGACCCGAAACCCGGUGAUCUAGCCAUGGGCAGGUUGAAGGUUGGGUAACACUAACUGGAGGACCGAACCGACUAAUGUUGAAAAAUUAGCGGAUGACCUGUGGCUGGGGGUGAAAGGCCAAUCAAACCGGGAGAUAGCUGGUUCUCCCCGAAAGCUAUUUAGGUAGCGCCUCGUGAAUUCAUCUCCGGGGGUAGAGCACUGUUUCGGCUAGGGGGCCAUCCCGGCUUACCAACCCGAUGCAAACUGCGAAUACCGGAGAAUGUUAUCACGGGAGACACACGGCGGGUGCUAACGUCCGUCGUGAAGAGGGAAACAACCCAGACCGCCAGCUAAGGUCCCAAAGUCAUGGUUAAGUGGGAAACGAUGUGGGAAGGCCCAGACAGCCAGGAUGUUGGCUUAGAAGCAGCCAUCAUUUAAAGAAAGCGUAAUAGCUCACUGGUCGAGUCGGCCUGCGCGGAAGAUGUAACGGGGCUAAACCAU